rnacentral:rRNA from 1 species
GUAAGGAAUAUUGGUCAAUGGGCGGAAGCCUGAACCAGCCAUGCCGCGUGCAGGACGAAGGCCCUACGGGUCGUAAACUGCUUUUGUACGGGAACAACCGCAGUUACGUGUAACUAUCUGAGUGUACCGUAAGAAUAAGGAUCGGCUAACUCCGUGCCAGCAGCCGCGGUAAUACGGAGGAUCCGAGCGUUAUCCGGAUUUAUUGGGUUUAAAGGGUGCGUAGGCGGCAGUUUAAGUCAGGAGUGAAAGACGGUGGCUCAACCAUCGCAGUGCUAUUGAUACUGAACUGCUUGAAUGACAUUGAAGACGGCGGAAUGAGACAAGUAGCGGUGAAAUGCAUAGAUAUGUCUCAGAACCCCGAUAGCGAAGGCAGCUGUCUAAACGUUUAUUGACGCUGAUGCACGAAAGCGUGGGGAUCGAACAGGAUUAGAAACCCCGGUAGUCC